UCGUCAUUUCCCCCUCGUCUCUCAUUAACCCUAACUCUAGCCGCCCUAAAAUCCCAUCCACUCACCACCAACCGCCACCCAUCGAAAAUCGCCUCACGGCGAGACUCCAAACCUAUUCAAAUUAACACCAGCCAACCACCAUCUCGUCCUCUUCCUAUAUCUCAUAACUAUUUCCUUCAAACAAACCCAGAAAUCCCCAAAUCUCAUAUCUAAAGUCGAAAUCCUAGUUUUGUUCGAUUUCGGUCCACUUGAACCCAAGACCUACAUCAAUUGAUUGCUCUUUUGAAAGUAAUCGAUUGAUGUUAGUCUCACUUCAUUUUACCCCACCUAAAUUUGUCCGAGUUUGUGACUAUCUAGUUCAAAUCAAGCUUGGGUAAUUUCUUUUUCCGCUUUUCUUUUGUUUUUCUCCUUUCCUCUUUCAUAAUCGUUCUCUUUUAUGCUUAGAUUGCAUGGCUUAGUCUAAUUACAGUGUUUGUUUUUUGUUGUUAUCCGUCUGUUUGUUUUAUUUAUGCUAAUUUGAAUCAUCUGCAUGUCUUCUCAUGAGUUUAAUUUGAAUGAACUAAUUUAGCUUUGAAUUCCAUUUUGAAUAUAGUUCAUGCUAAGUUUAGCUAGGUUUAGGAUUAGUAUAAGUUUUUAAAUGCUUUAUACUCUAGGUUUAAUUGCAAUGUCUCGUUUCUGAAUGUUAUUUGAUUUGGAUUCUGAUUUUUGUUUGCCUUGCUUCUGUUUGCCCUAAUUUGUAAAUCAUUAGAAAUUUGUAGGAGUUAAUUGAAUUAAAAAAAAACUAGGAGGGUCUUAGAAGUUUUAGAAAGAAAAUAUGUGGAAAUGGAAAACUUCUAGAAGGUAUAACUGUCCAGAAUUUGUUAAAAAAAGAUGCUGAAAAAUGGAUAGUUGUUCAUUAUUUCUGUUAAAAGACGCUAAUUUCCUAAAUUCACGGGGGAAGGGCUGACAAAUUCUAUGAUUUUAUUAUUCCUCACAAAGCACACACCUCACACUCUAUAUAAGGAGUAGUAUUCCCUCAUUAGAGAGGGUUUGCAUUCUCACGAAAAGAACAAAAAAAUAGAAAAAAGGAAAAUAUUUUCAGCCUCUAUCCUUACCAUUUUGGACUACUAAUUUUAAUUCAAAAAUACUGGGAUUUCUGAUUGGAGUGGGUAGUUGUUGUGAUUCUCUACUAUUUCUUAGUGGCUGCUGCUUCUUCUUCAUUAGCCAGAGCUUUGUUUUCUUCUGUUUUUGUUGUUUCAAGGUAUUGAUUUCCAUCCUUAUUGAUGUACUAUCUAUUUAAGUGUCAUAAAAUCAAAAGCUACCAUUAUGGUUUACUUGUAUGUGAUAAAUGAGUUUCAUUUCAUAUUAGUUACUGAUUGUAUUGCUAUAAAUCUAAUUAAUCUCUUGUUGUGUGAGUCUAAGUUAAAAUGAUCUAGUAUAAGUGUAGUGAAACAAACUUGGUUGGUAUAUUAAUUCUUGUAGUUUUCUUUUUAAAAGAUGAAUAUGUGAAGUGCUGACUUCAGGAGUGUUGUUUGAAGUUGUUUUUUUAGUUAAAAUUUUGUAGUGUCAGCGCUAAUUCUGAUACAGAUGCUAUAAUUUCUUUUAUUUUCUUUCCUACAUGUAUGAUGAAUAACAUUGUGUCUAUUUGAGGUUAUUGAGGGUUUUUGUUGCUAAUCAUGGGUUAUAGCUUGUGGAUCUGACUACUAGUUGGCCAAAUCAACAAGUUCUAAAGCCAAGAGUUGGGAUUCUGCUGUUAAAGUUGUGCUGAAAAUUGAUGGCUCCAUGUGAUGGACUAAAGCUUUGAUGGAUAGAUCAUAUCCAAAUUGGCAAUUGUUCACAAGGCUAGCAAUUUCAUGGAAAAGUUGUAAUAAGAAGAAAUUAGUAUUUUCUCUUUGAGGUUUUAAUUCUUGUAUAAUAAAUAAGUUGUGAUUCCCAAAUGUUAAAUAUGCAUGUCUUCAUAAUUAUUUUCGUUUGGUAUCUUCUUUAAAGUAUAUAGAUAUACUAUCUGGG
rnacentral:lncRNA from 1 species